UCCUAAAGCCUUCCUCUUGCUUGCAUGCCACGUCUCUCCGCCUCUCGCACAGUGGACGUCCUCCCAUUACUUUCUUAGGUCCCCCCUCUCAAACUCAUUAUCUUUCCUAAUCCAAUUAAAUUAUAAGAAGACAGAAAAAAAAAAAAGUGUUUGAUUUGCAACCCAACUUGAAAUCAAAAUUAAAAUAAAAAUAAAUUGAAAUGGAAAUAAGAAUAGUU
rnacentral:lncRNA from 1 species